rnacentral:rRNA from 1 species
AGCGAACGUUAGCGGCGCGCCUAACACAUGCAAGUCGCACGAGAAAGGGCUUCGGCCCCGGUAAAGUGGCGCACGGGUGAGUAACACGUGGGCAACCUGCCCAACCCUGGGGGAUAACCUGCCGAAAGGCGGGCUAAUACCGCGUACGAGGGCCUGACUUCGGUCGGGUUCUGAAAGCAGGCCUCUGAAUUCAAGCUUGUGGGGUUGGAUGGGCCCGCGGUCCAUCAGCUAGUUGGUGAGGUAAAGGCUCACCAAGGCUACGACGGAUAGCUGGUCUGAGAGGAUGAUCAGCCACACUGGAACUGAGACACGGUCCAGACUCCUACGGGAGGCAGCAGUGGGGAAUCUUGCGCAAUGGGCGAAAGCCUGACGCAGCGACGCCGCGUGGGUGACGAAGGCCUUCGGGUUGUAAAGCCCUGUGGGGCGAGACGAACAGCUUCUGGUCAAAUAGGCCAGGGGUCUGACGGUAUCGCCUUAGCAAGCACCGGCUAACUCUGUGCCAGCCGCCGCAGUAACAC